rnacentral:rRNA from 1 species
AUUGAACGCUGGCGGAAUGCUUUACACAUGCAAGUCGAACGGCAGCACGGACUUCGGUCUGGUGGCGAGUGGCGAACGGGUGAGUAAUGUAUCGGAACGAGCUCAGUCGUGGGUGAUAACGUUGCGAUAAUGAAGCUAAAACCGCAUACGAUCUAUGGAUGAAAGCGGGGGCACGCAAGUCCUAGAGCGAUGGGAGCGGCCGAUAUCAGAUUAGGUAGUUGGGUGGAUAAACGCCCACCAAGCCAACGAUCUGUAGCUGGUCUGAGAGGACGACCAGCCACACUGGAACUGAGACACGGUCCAGACUCCUACGGGAGGCAGCAGUGGGUAAUUUUGUACAAUGGGCGAAAGCAUGAUCCAACCAUUCCUCGUGCAGUAUGAAGUCCCUCGGUUUGUAAACUGCUUUUGUACAGAACGAAAAGGUUUCUACUAAUACAAGGAGCUCAUAACGGUACUGUAAGAAUAAGCACCGUCUAACUACGUGCCAGCCGCCGCAGUAA